CUGCAGCUCCGAUUAUCAUUUAAAUUCUACUUUAACCACGGAUGAUAAAUGAGCCGACUAAGUCGGUAAAUUGAACUCUGCCUCGAAUUUAUUCUAUCCGAUUCAAUGCGUUUUAGCACGAAACACUGUGUUAAAAAAUCGCAUUAAAUCGGGUUAGUUCGCAUUGAAUUUCAAUCCGACUUCGAUUGCUGGGACUAUAUAGAUAUACAAUUAACAUGAAGGUAAUAAUUUCAAAUCAUCUUUCUGAAUCAGGGAACUACCUUUUAACACAGAUUUGUGUUAUUUUCACACAAAACAGUGUUACACACAGAUACUGUUGAAUUAAUACUAAGUUUGGGUAAAAAAAGACGUUAAUGUACGUUUUUGAGUUAAAUUUGACGAAAAAUUUUAUACUGUGCAGUGAAAAUGAAAAUAAAGGAAAAUUUUUACAAUUUACCAAGAAAUUUGUUGCAGUGUGGAUGUUUGCCUACUAAUCGAUUAAGUUGACUGUGGAAUUCAACAGAUAUACCUGCGAAAUUUCAUUCGUAUGAUAAAUUGAAUAAGUGGUUUGUUAAUUAUCAACAAAGAAAAGGGAAUAAAUUCAACGGAGACUUGUCCCGCAAAAUUGUGGUUAAGCACGUCACCACAUAAAAAAAAUCUACAAGUCGAUCACUUUAAAGACAAACACAAUCAUCCACCUACUAUAGUUGGAAAAGAUGGACCAGUCAAACAUAGGCAACUCCUUCUGGAAGAUGUUAUUAAGCUUUAUAAGAAAUUUCAGGCCCAAAAAUCAGGCCCUGUAAAAAAAAGUACAGAAAGUAGGAGAAAAUCCGAUUAUGAAUUGCAAAGAAGUGGUCAUAAGAGCACCGACAAAUAUGUCAGUAUGCAACCUGUUAUUGUGUUGAGGCGAGUAAAUGAUCCUAAAGACAUAGAAUUUAUUAAAUUUACAAGCUUUCUUGAGUCGUUAAGACCAAAAGUAGAUGUCGAAAGUAUUUUAAAUAACAAAAGUCUUAUAAAUCUUCAUAACUUAUUAAAGAUUGAUAAAAAUAAUGUGUCAAAAUAUAAUAAAUUUUGACAUACGUGAAAAGAAAAAAUAUUUUACAGAAUCAGCGUACAUAGCAGUAAAUACAUUGAUGAACGCAAAAACAAAGUCUUAAUAAUAAUUAUAAAAAAUUCAUAAUCAUUAUGUUCUAUUUAACUAACGUUCUUGUGUACUGAUUUUCUAUGCACUUAUUGAAAAUAAAAUCGUAAGUAUUUAUCAA